ACAAAAUUACUGAUUUUAAUAUUUUGCAAAAAGAUAUCUUUUUAAAUUUAUUAUGAGCAGCUUCCAUUUAAGAUUGCCGUAAUAUUUUUUAAGAGCAUCGAUACCCAAAGAUUUUCCGCCAAUACACCGAUUUUUACAUACACUUACAUUGAUCUGACGAAAUGGUCUCCAAGCACUCGUUUUCUUCUGGUGAAAGGAUGUUCCUUCUAGUAACGGUGAUGUAGCUCCUCUACUGCUUCAGGAGCCAAUUACUGGAACUGAACAUGAUCGGAAAUGUUCAGAGAAGACACAGCGUCAUGUUAAUGUUACUUUCCUCGUAAUAAAAUCGUUAAGGUAAUCGAAAUCUAGACAUCUCGAAAUCCUUUACACGGAAUUAAUGUAACUUCUAGAGUGUAUUAUUUUAAAGCAUUCAUGAAAUUACUACCAAUAAAAAACUUUUAGCAUACAUCUGAGCCAAUGAAAAUAGUAUAUUGAAUACUAUUGAAGACAUUAUAUAUGAAUAGAUUUAAUAGAAGAGAAUUGAAUUUAAAUAUAUUUAUAUAAUAAUGUGGUAACAAUUUUUAAUCAAGGUGUUAGUAUUGUUAUAUGUCUGUAUUACUAUUUCUUUAAUAAUCUGAAGUAUAAUAUAUGUCGUCUAAACGUGUGCGUAAAAUACAUCGCCUUAUUAUUCAUUUUAUUAAAUUGUUUACGUUAAUUUUUAUAUUAUUUUUAAAGCAUUAUUACUGAGAUGAAUAUAAUUUAAUCUACGAGUGAAAUUAAACUGGCUUUCGUAUUAAUGGUACUUAUAACCGUGAUACAUAUAAAAAAGCUUUAUUCUUAAAGAGGAUGGCUGUCGACGUACAAAAGCAAAAGAAAAUAAAUCUCUCAUCAAAGUAUAAAAAAUUGAGAAGAUUUUCAAGGACUAUAACUAACAGUUCAGAUAAGGCACGAAGCUCUUGUGUAUGGUAAAGCAUAACGCUGCCUUCUGCACUUUAAUACUAAAUAAUUGAAGUACCUCUACAUUAUUUUAUAAGUAAUGGAACUACCUGUAUAUGUACUUCAAUUUCUUAAAAACAAAUAAUUACUUACCGAUUUCAUAAUACUUUAUCGCUCCAGCAGAAUACCUAUUGUGUCACAGCUAGUGGAAGUAUUAACUUACUUUAUAUAUUACAAAAAAAAAAGGAAAAUAUGGUCGAAAAAAUUAAAUUUGUUAGAAAAAACCUUAAU